rnacentral:rRNA from 1 species
UGAGAUGUUGGGUUAAGUCCCGUAACGAGCGCAACCCUUGUCCUUAGUUACCAGCACGUUAUGGUGGGCACUCUAAGGAGACUGCCGGUGACAAACCGGAGGAAGGUGGGGAUGACGUCAAGUCAUCAUGGCCCUUACGGCCUGGGCUACACACGUGCUACAAUGGUCGGUACAAAGGGUUGCCAAGCCGCGAGGUGGAGCUAAUCCCAUAAAACCGAUCGUAGUCCGGAUCGCAGUCUGCAACUCGACUGCGUGAAGUCGGAAUCGCUAGUAAUCGUGAAUCAGAAUGUCACGGUGAAUACGUUCCCGGGCCUU